rnacentral:misc_RNA from 1 species
UCAAACUUGGUCAUUUAGAGGAAGUAAAAGUCGUAACAAGGUAUCCGUAGGUGAACCUGCGGAUGGAUCAUUACCAAUUUUAUUAUAUUAGUUUUUGUAGGCCGCCGUCAAAACGUGGUCCUGCACAACUACUAUGUAAACGUUGAACUGGAUCGUUGGUGUGGAUUGCUUGGGAAUGGACGAAGCGACAAGCCUCUUCCGGACAGGCAAACCCCACGCCGAUAACCUUUUUUCAUACUAAUUUACAACUAGUACAUACUACAAACAAACAAACAAACAAACAAACAAUCGUUUUAAUAGGACUUAUAUACGAGCUGAGUGGGUAAAAGCCUCGGCUCUCAAAAAAUAACUAUUACAACUUUCAGCAAUGGAUCUCUAGGCUCUCGCAUCGAUGAAGAACGCAGC